GAUGAACGCUGGCGGCGUGCCUAACACAUGCAAGUCGAGCGGACAGACGAGGCGCUUGCUCCUCUGACGUUAGGGGCGGGCGUGUGAGUAACAUGAGGAUAACCUACCUAUAAGACUGAGAUAACUUGGGGAAAGCGGAUCUUACACCGGAUAAGAUAUUGAACCGCGUGGAUCAUUAGUGAAAGACGGUUGUGCUGGAACUUAUCGAUGGUUCCGAGCCGGAUUAGCUAGUUGGUGAGGUAACGGCCUACCAAGGCGACUCUGCGUGUCCGAAGUGACAGGGGGAUCGGCCACACUGGAACUUAGACACGGUCCAUACUCCUACGGGAGGCAGCAGUAGGGAAUCUUCGGCAAUGGGCGAAAGCUUGACGGAGCGAGGCCGCGUGAGUGAUGAAGGUCUUCGGAUCGGAAAGCCCUGUUACUAGGGAAGAACAGCUGUGUCAGGAGCUAUGGACGUCUUGACGGUACCUAAUCAGAAAGCACCGGCUAACUACGUG
rnacentral:rRNA from 1 species